rnacentral:rRNA from 1 species
GUGGGGAAUAUUGCACAAUGGACGAAAGUCUGAUGCAGCAACGCCGCGUGGAGGAUGACACAUUUCGGUGCGUAAACUCCUUUUAUAUAAGAAGAUAAUGACGGUAUUAUAUGAAUAAGCACCGGCUAACUCCGUGCCAGCAGCCGCGGUAAUACGGAGGGUGCAAGCGUUACUCGGAAUCACUGGGCGUAAAGAGCGUGUAGGCGGAUUGAUAAGUUUGAAGUGAAAUCCUAUAGCUUAACUAUAGAACUGCUUUGAAAACUGUUAAUCUAGAAUGUGGGAGAGGUAGAUGGAAUUUCUGGUGUAGGGGUAAAAUCCGUAGAGAUCAGAAGGAAUACCGAUUGCGAAGGCGAUCUACUGGAACAAUAUUGACGCUGAGACGCGAAAGCGUGGGGAGCAAACAGGAUUAGAUACCCUAGUAGUCC